GAUUGAACGCUGGCGGCACGCUUAACACAUGCAAGUCGAACGGCAGCACGACCUUAGGCAACUGAGGUUGGUGGCGAGUGGCGGACGGGUGAGUAACACGUAGGGAUCUGACUUUAAGUGGGGGAUAACCUAGGGAAACUUGGGCUAAUACCGCAUGAGCUCUGAGGAGGAAAGGGGGCGCUUACGAAAGUAAAGCUCUCGCUUAGAGAGGAACCUGCGUCGGAUUAGCUAGUUGGUUAGGUAACGGCUGACCAAGGCGAUGAUCCGUAGCUGGUCUGAGAGGAUGGCCAGCCACACUUGGACUGAGACACGGCCCAGACUCCUACGGGAGGCAGCAGUGGGGAAUAUUGGACAAUGGGGGCAACCCUGAUCCAGCGAUGCCGCGUGUGUGAAGAAGGCCUGCGGGUUGUAAAGCACUUUAGUUGGGGAGGAAGGGUUUUUGGAGGAAUAUGCCAAGAGCUUUGACGUUACCCAAAGAAUAAGCACCGGCAAACUCUGUGCCAGCAGCCGCGGUAAUACAGAGGGUGCAAGCGUUAAUCGGAAUUACUGGGCGUAAAGGGCGCGUAGGUGGAUGAAUAAGUCAUCGGUGAAAUCCCUGGGCUUAACCUAGGAACUGCCGGUGAUACUGUUGAGUCUAGAGUGAAGUAGAGGGUAGCGGAAUUUCCGGUGUAGCGGUGAAAUGCGUAGAUAUCGGAAAGAACACCAGUGGCGAAGGCGGCUACCUGGACUUUGACUGACACUGAGGCGCGAAAGCGUGGGGAGCGAACAGGAUUAGAUACCCUGGUAGUCCACGCUGUAAACGAUGAAAACUAGCUGUUGGUGGGUGUAAACCUGUCAGUAGCGCAGCUAACGCGAUAAGUUUUCCGCCUGGGGAGUACGGCCGCAAGGCUAA
rnacentral:rRNA from 1 species